ensembl:lncRNA
CAGAAAUAGUAUUUAAUAUAGCUGAAUCAACAUAAAUAUUUUAAUUUAUACCACUAAAACUUCUAUAUAUGGCUUAAAUCAGGUAAAAUUUAAUGUAACAAUUGCAGGCUACCAGUUUCUGCAGUAGUUACGCUUUAUGGUUGCUGGUUUGCAGUUGCAUGAAUGUCAGUGACUGCAGCGGGUCAUUUUUAUGGUGGCCGAGAGCUCAACAUGCUACGUCUUAAGAAAACACAUGCAAAUAGAAAAAUAAAACAUCUUCAUCAGUUUGACAACACAUGUUCUGCAAAUACUCACAACACGACCAAAUACAGAAACACGCUGCAAAUACGCACAACACGACCAACUACAGAAACACGCUGCAAAUACGCACAACACGACCAACUACAGAAACACGCUGCAAAUACGCACAACACGACCAACUACAGAAACACGCUGCAAAUACGCACAACACGACCAACUACAGAAACACGCUGCAAAUACGCACAACACGACCAACUACAGAAACACGCUGCAAAUACGCACAACACGACCAACUACAGAAACACGCUGCAAAUACGCACAACACGACCAACUACAGAAACACGCUGCAAAUACGCACAACACGACCAACUACAGAAACACGCUGCAAAUACGCACAACACGACCAACUACAGAAACACGCUGCAAAUACGCACAACACGACCAACUACAGAAACACGCUGCAAAUACGCACAACACGACCAACUACAGAAACACGCUGCAAAUACGCACAACACGACCAACUACAGAAACACGCUGCAAAUACGCACAACACGACCAACUACAGAAACACGCUGCAAAUACGCACAACACGACCAACUACAGAAACACGCUGCAAAUACGCACAACACGACCAACUACAGAAACACGCUGCAAAUACUCACAACACGACCAAAUACAGAAACACGCUGCAAAUACGCACAACACGACCAAAUACCGAAACACACUGCAAAUACGCACAACACGCUGCAAAUAUUCACAACACGCUGCAAAUAUUCACAACACGACCAAAUACAGAAACACGCUGCAAAUACUCACAACACGCUGCAAAUACUCACAACACGACCAAAUACAGAAACACGCUGCAAAUAGCACUGAUGACAAUAGAACCCUUAUGAAAUUUAACCAUAGUUUUACUUCAGAUAAAACCAAGAAACCAUGGUUACUAUAGUUCAACCAUGGUAAUCACAAAUUAACCAUGGUUUUGCUACACUAACCACAGUUCAGCCCAGGGUAUUUGUAGUAAAACUCUGGUUAAAUGGUAGUAAAAUAUGCCAAAAAAACAACAUUGUUACUACACUUUUACUAUAACAAAA